rnacentral:rRNA from 1 species
UACGUAGGGGGCAAGCGUUACUCGGAAUUACUGGGCGUAAAGCGCGCGCAGGCGGCUUUGCAAGCCAGAUGUGAAAUCCCCGGGCUUAACCUGGGAACUGCAUUUGUGACUGCAUGGCUAGAGUGCGGGAGAGGGGGAUGGAAUUCCGCGUGUAGCAGUGAAAUGCGUAGAUAUGCGGAGGAACACCGAUGGCGAAGGCAAUCCCCUGGGCCUGCACUGACGCUCAUGCACGAAAGCGUGGGGAGCAAACAGG